ACAGAAGGCUUUACAGAAACAGGAACAGAAGCUGCUCUUUGCAGAAGGGUCCUGGGGGUCAAUAUAGUCACGAUUGCUCAACUCUUCAUUAAGCUACAGGUUUAUAGGUUAUUUGAUAAUAAGUCCAGAAUGCAGCUGCUGUAGGAGCUUCUAAUGCACUUCUCUAUUACUUCAAGAACACUGUGUAUAAUAAUAAACUCUACAGAAAUAAACCAAAUCACAAGAAGCUUUCAGGUCUGGAGGCUGACAUUUCUCAAGACAGAUGAAGAACCUGAGGCUCACCUUGCUUAAGUGACUUGAGCAGCUUCACGCAUCUUGUAAGUAGUAGAGACAGAGUCAAAACCAGAUCUUCCUGCCCUCUCUAUCAUAUAAACCACUUACACUGAAUUACAAAGUGAAACUGAUCUAUGGUGAAUUGUACUAAUGUUCUGCUUCUGCCAUGGGCACCAGAGGAGAUACCUUUCUUUGUUGACACUAAUCUCAAAGGCUAAAUUAGAUCCCCCAAACUCAUUUCCAUUAAUAACAUGUCAAAGGCUUGUGUCAUGCGUUAAUUUAUCCAAAGUGAUCUUGAUUCUAUUUACAUUUUGGUGCCACCUUUUAAUGUCACCAUUUUUAUAAAUUAAAUAUGUAAUAUAUAAAGCCAGUCUUCACUUACUGAUAUGUUAAUUUUUAACCCAAACUUCUUAGUCUGACAUUCCAGCAAUACCGGAGCAUUGACAGUUGAUAAUAGCUCUAUGUGCUACCUCUCCAAGAAACAAAUUUGCAUUUUAACCUGCCCCUUCAAUGGCUGAACUUCAAAGGGUCACUGAUGAAUGCCACAGCAGGUUGGUGGGAAUAUAAUUCUUUUUAUGGAUAAUAUUUGUGUGUGUAUGUGUGUGUGUGUGUUAAAUCCUACCACAUAAGUCACUAACCUAUGGGUAAGGCCAGUCUUGACCUAAAAUGAGGAAUUCUGUAAAAUUUCAAAUGCAAAUCACAUUUUAUUUUUGAUGUUAGAGAAAACUGCAAAUUGGAACAGCAGAGCUGUGCCUCUGGCCAUUUCCUGGAACUACAGAGGAGCAACUUGCCCCGGUUUCCAGUGGGUGAUGUUCCUCUUCUGCCACAGUCCCUGGCGAUGUUGAUGUGAUUGCCAUCAGAGCUCAGAAGCACAGAGCAGAAUCAUCCCCUGGAGGAGGAUUCCCUUCAGUGUAAGAAGUUCUUACAGAAUUAAUCCUCAAAGACUGUGGGUGGACUCUGCCAGGUUUUUCCCCGGGUGUACCAGAAGAGAGGAAGAGCCCUCAAAUACAGGAAAGUGCUCUUUUCAGUGACAGUAGUUCUUUUGGGCCCUGUGGCUAAGUGUGCUCCCACCCCAGCAGUAAGAUCACAGCUAAUCCUGAGAGGCAAGAGCUCACACCAGGCUACUGAAAGAAAAAGUGUCCUUUGUGGAUUGCAAGAGGAACUGGGACACACUGCUGGAAAUGAAGUGGCAGGUCAUAAACUAUCAUAAACUCAGGAGGAGAGGUGUUCCUUUUUGAGACACUCAUCACAACUAGAGAGAAUGCAGCUAAGAAAAUGCAGUCUUUAGGGGGACCUGGACUGUUGAAGUAUUUGAGCUAUUCGGAGGAAAUAGAAACUUGGAAGAGAUCUUUGUUCCACUAUUAUUUGGCAGCCCCUUACCCGCAGCUGCCAUUACUCCAGAUUCUCUCUGAUGAUCCUGCAUCAGGAGAAUGAGUUGACUGGGCACCACUGGGAAAUGUGGGCAGCUCCAGGCUGAACUAGAGAAGGGGCAUGUCAAAGGUCACUUAUUUGUGGCUUGACCCUUUGGAGGCCAGAUGUAAGAAUCAAUUUCUCACAGGUCCCAUGCUAACGCUUUUCAUAUUUAUUUCCAUCUGAGACUCACUUAGGCUAGGCAAAUAUCCCAUGGGUCUGUACCUCUCCAGUGCUUUCUUGCUCAUGUAAAAUUAGCUCAUUGGAAUGAAUAAAGAGAAUGGUAUUACUUUGGCUCGAACACG
rnacentral:lncRNA from 1 species